CAGGGAUCUUAAAGAUGGGGUUGGCUAUAGGAUUAGGGCUUGGAGUUCCUUUCUCAGGAGCGGGGGAGCUAAAAGGAAGUAUCGAGUUUUUAGUAUCUCCUAUUUGUUGGGAGAUAGUGUGAAGGACCUGAUUAGUAUAGUUGUUUUGUUCAACUAUCCUAUCGAGGUCUCUAUUAAUAGGGGAUGAUAGAGGUCUAUCAUGCUUCUUCUUAAAGGGUGAAGCAUUGAGG
rnacentral:lncRNA from 1 species